rnacentral:precursor_RNA from 1 species
AAACACAAACCACACGCUAUCUAAUGCAUCCUUCCUUCCUAGCUAGCUAGUCUCCGUUUUCCUUCGUCUCUCCCUGCCUCGCCGUACGUCUAGCUAGUUCUAGCUCUUCAGAUGAUCUUGUUGGUGUGCUGCUUUGCCCGUUCGUGGCCGUACAUGCAUGACAUAUAUAUAUUGCAAGCCGAARCAAUGGCCGCGGCGGCGGUGGCGGCAGGCGARGAARARGUGAAAGAAAGCUAGCUAGGGAAUAUGCCUGGCUCCCUGUAUGCCACUCGCACGGCUACCACACCCCGGUGGCCGCUGCGGCUGGCGUGCGAGGUGCCAAGCAUGGCCCCCUCAUACAUCUCUCUCAUUUCUCAUUGUUUCAGACUCAAGCUAACUACAUACUCGCCAUUUUUC